rnacentral:rRNA from 1 species
GACGAACGCUGGCGGCGUGCUUAACACAUGCAAGUCGAACGGAAAGGCCCUGCUUUUGUGGGGUGCUCGAGUGGCGAACGGGUGAGUAACACGUGAGUAACCUGCCCUUGACUUUGGGAUAACUUCAGGAAACUGGGGCUAAUACCGGAUAGGAGCUCCUGCUGCAUGGUGGGGGUUGGAAAGUUUCGGCGGUUGGGGAUGGACUCGCGGCUUAUCAGCUUGUUGGUGGGGUAGUGGCUUACCAAGGCUUUGACGGGUAGCCGGCCUGAGAGGGUGACCGGCCACAUUGGGACUGAGAUACGGCCCAGACUCCUACGGGAGGCAGCAGUGGGGAAUAUUGCACAAUGGGCGGAAGCCUGAUGCAGCAACGCCGCGUGCGGGAUGACGGCCUUCGGGUUGUAAACCGCUUUCGCCUGUGACGAAGCGUGAGUGACGGUAAUGGGUAAAGAAGCACCGGCUAACUACGUGCCAGCAGCCGCGGUGAUACGUAGGGUGCGAGCGUUGUCCGGAUUUAUUGGGCGUAAAGGGCUCGUAGGUGGUUGAUCGCGUCGGAAGUGUAAUCUUGGGGCUUAACCCUGAGCGUGCUUUCGAUACGGGUUGACUUGAGGAAGGUAGGGGAGAAUGGAAUUCCUGGUGGAGCGGUGGAAUGCGCAGAUAUCAGGAGGAACACCAGUGGCGAAGGCGGUUCUCUGGGCCUUUCCUGACGCUGAGGAGCGAAAGCGUGGGGAGCGAACAGGCUUAGAUACCCUGGUAGUCCACGCUGUAAACGGUGGGUACUAGGUGUGGGGUCCAUUCCACGGGUUCCGUGCCGUAGCUAACGCUUUAAGUACCCCGCCUGGGGAGUACGGCCGCAAGGCUAAAACUCAAAGGAAUUGACGGGGCCCCGCACAAGCGGCGGAGCAUGCGGAUUAAUUCGAUGCAACGCGUAGAACCUUGCCUGGGUUUGACAUGGAUCGGGAGUGCUCAGAGAUGGGUGUGCCUCUUUUGGGGUCGGUUCACAGGUGGUGCAUGGCUGUCGUCAGCUCGUGUCGUGAGAUGUUGGGUUAAGUCCCGCAACGAGCGCAACCCUUGUUCACUGUUGCCAGCACGUUAUGGUGGGGACUCAGUGGAGACCGCCGGGGUCAACUCGGAGGAAGGUGGGGACGACGUCAAGUCAUCAUGCCCCUUAUGUCCAGGGCUUCACGCAUGCUACAAUGGCUGGUACAGAGAGUGGCGAGCCUGUGAGGGUGAGCGAAUCUCGGAAAGCCGGUCUCAGUUCGGAUUGGGGUCUGCAACUCGACCUCAUGAAGUCGGAGUCGCUAGUAAUCGCAGAUCAGCAACGCUGCGGUGAAUACGUUCCCGGG